GAUGAACGCUAGCGGCAGGCUUAAUACAUGCAAGUCGAGGGGCAGCAUGACUGUAGCAAUACAGUUGAUGGCGACCGGCAAACGGGUGCGGAACACGUACGCAACCUACCCAAAACUGAGGAAUAGCCCGGGGAAACCCGGAUUAAUACUUCGUAACAUAAUUGAAUGGCAUCAUUUGAUUAUUAUAGCUCCGGCGGUUUUGGAUGGGCGUGCGCCUGAUUAGAUAGUUGGCGGGUAACGGCCCACCAAGUCUGCGAUCAGUAACUGGUGUGAGAGCACGACCAGUCACACGGGCACUGAGACACGGGCCCGACUCCGUACGGGAGCAGCAAGUAAGGAAUAUUGGUCAAUGGACGCAAGUCUGAACCAGCCAUGCCGCGUGAAGGAUGAAGGUCCUCUGGAUUGUAACUUCUUUAUAUGGGACGAAACCUUCUUUUCUAGAGAGACUGACGGUACCAUAAGAAUAAGCACCGGCUAACUCCGUGCCA
rnacentral:rRNA from 1 species